GGAAGUAGGGGGAGGCACAUAGUGCUGGGGGCAGUGGAUGCUGCCAUGCCCCCUCCAAGCCCACAGGCUUCACCCCCUUGCUUCCUUUUGCCCUUCCUAUGGAGGGGAGGGAAAUCCACUCAAAAGGGAAAACUGGCUCCAGAGAAGUGAGCUAUGGAAAGUUGCACUGGGAGCUGGUGGGACUUCGGAGAAGAGGAUCUGACAUGUCACACAGAGGUUUUAAAGCAAAGGAUGUGCCAUGGCCAACAGGUUCAGACACUGGACUCAUUCCCAUGUUUGCUGCAAGGCUUCAACACCAAUCGCCAUUUAAUUCAAUCUUCCUCUCCUUCAGGAGCACCUUCUCAUAACACUGCCCUACUACUGCUGCAAAUCCAUGGAAAAUAAAAGCUUGGAGAACCAGGGGGUUUGGCUUAAGGAAAGCACCUUGAACUACAUCCCUGUGUAUGCCUUGUAUCAUAAAUGCUUUCCUUCCCUCUUCCAUGAAACAGAAGGUCCCCCAUACCAUGUGCCUGAUAGGACACAGGGAGAGCCCCAAAACCUCGGAAGGCUUAAAAUACAUUGUUUCUCCCUGAAAAGCUGGGAUCUGGCAGCCUGCUGCAGUGGGAUAUUAGUGUUAGAACAGAAGGGAUAUUUCAAGCUGUCUUGAUCUGAAGUCUCCCACAACUGGGACCAGCCAAGGAUUCACCUCUGGAGCCCCAGUAACCAAGAGAAGUCCCGAGGUCCCACGAAAGAAAGAAGAGGAGGAGACAUGCCUA